rnacentral:rRNA from 1 species
UACGUAGGUGGCAAGCGUUGUCCGGAUUUAUUGGGUUUAAAGGGUGCGUAGGCGGUUCUAUAAGUCAGUGGUGAAAUCCGGCAGCUUAACUGUCGAUGUGCCAUUGAUACUGCAGGACUUGAGUACAGACGAGGUAGGCGGAAUUGACGGUGUAGCGGUGAAAUGCUUAGAUAUCGUCAAGAACACCGAUAGCGAAGGCAGCUUACUAGACUGUAACUGACGCUGAUGCACGAAAGUGUGGGGAUCAAACAGG